rnacentral:rRNA from 1 species
UACGUAGGGUGCAAGCGUUAAUCGGAAUUAUUGGGCGUAAAGCGCGCGCAGGCGGUCCUUUAAGUCUGAUGUGAAAGCCCACGGCUCAACCGUGGAGGGUCAUUGGAAACUGGGGGACUUGAGUACAGAAGAGAAGAGUGGAAUUCCACGUGUAGCGGUGAAAUGCGUAGAAAUGUGGAGGAACACCAGUGGCGAAGGCGACUCUUUGGUCUGUAACUGACGCUGAGGCGCGAAAGCGUGGGGAGCAAACAGG